GUCUAUAGCCAUACCACUUUGAACACACCUGAUCUCACAUGAUCUCAGAAGCUAAGAAGGUUUGGGUCUGGUUAGCACUUGGAUGGCAGAAAGAUCUUUGGAGUCUCCCUACGAUCAGACU
rnacentral:rRNA from 1 species